rnacentral:rRNA from 1 species
CAGUCGCCACGGUAAUGUGUAGGGCGCAAGCGUUAAUCGGAAUUACUGGGCGUAAAGCGUGCGCAGGCGGUUUGUUAAGACAGAUGUGAAAUCCCCGGGCCCAACCUGGGAACUGCAUUUGUGACUGGCAAGCUAGAGUGUGGCAGAGGGGGGUGGAAUUCCGCGUGUAGCAGUGAAAUGCGUAGAUAUGCGGAGGAACACCGAUGGCGAAGGCAGCCCCCUGGGCCAACACUGACGCUCAUGCACGAAAGCGUGGGGAGCAAACAGGAUUAGAUACCCCGGUAGUCCCUGUCUCUUAUAC